rnacentral:lncRNA from 1 species
CUCUGAGCCUCAGCUUGCCAUGCUGAGUCAUGGUGAAAGGUCUCCGAGUCUACAGGCCAAAGCCACUGGUCCUCUCAUGACCGCAGUGAUUUCCAUGGAACAGUGUCAUACACCGAUGGCCCUUCUGAUAUGUGGGCCCCUGGGAGCAUGUGAAUGGAUCAAGACCAAGAGGACUACUGGGACAUAAUUGCUAAGCACGACUUCAUGCUCCUGGGGGCUAUCAGAAAAGACCAGGUGCCAUUGCACCACUGCAGAAACACACACACACCCCAGCCAACUUCCUGCAACUGCUGAAACUCCAUGGGCCAAAGAGCAAGUUGCCUUCCUUUCUGCUUCCUUCUCCAGAAGUCCUGGCUUAAAAAAUGUCUGUGUGAGGCAGCAGCAUGGUGACUACAUGCCUUGUCUUUCUUGGCAGACAUAGCUGUGCCUUCCAACAAGGAAAAUCACAAGUACCACAUUACGGCUCCGGGACAGGAAAAACUUCCCCUAAUUCACCAAACAUCCGGGUGCCUGCUUUGGGCUGCGCCGGGCCCUCUGCUACGAACUGGGGCUGAAGAGAGGAGUCACUGUCAUGACUUUACGGUCCUAGACACUAAAACCAUAAUAGAUUCUUGGGAACCCCCGCCAUGCUCACAAAUAACUCUUUCUACCAGGCCUGAGGGAGUCAAGAGAGAAGCAAAAACAAAGGAUCAGAGCGGGGCCAACUGCAGGGCCCGCAGAAGACCUAUGGGAGGCAGGCCUGGAAGGAUGAGCACACCUUCCCGGCUAGCUCAGCCCUUACACCUGCAUUGAGAAAGGCACCCCAUCCACCUGACUCAAGGAAGUGGAGACUCACUUCACCUACUGGCUCAAAAGAGACAGGGUAACAACAGUGGCAGCAAUACCAGCAGGCCUGGGUUGUGUAGCCACCAUUUACUGAGCACUUACAAUGACACUGUGCUAGGCAGUUCUUAUUUAUAACCUUAACACUCACUCCCACCCAUCCAGUAGAGAGGCUUACUACACACACACACACACACACACACACACACACACGCAAUUUACUGAUGGAGAAAAUAAAGCUCAGAGAAGUUAAGUCACUAGCUCAACAUCACACACCCAAUAAGUAGCAGGACUGGGAUUCCAAAACCUGGGCUGACUACAAUAUCCACAAUGUGACCCCACUCUUGAACAGAACUAGAGCUGGACCCCAGGAGCCAGAGGUCCACAUCAGGCCCAGCCUAGCACCCAGAGAUGGGCGCACAGUCCAGGCCACAAAGCCACAGAACUUUGCUGACUGCUGUCAGCGCUGCUGCAGCCUAAGCACACCUCCUACAUACACUGAAAAUACACGCUCAACCGCCACACAGGCUUCCAAUGCACGCUCACACGUGUGCUCAGGCAUGCGCUUUCUCACUCUUGCUUGCGCACUCCCACCCCUGAGUAUGCACAUACACACAUGGACUGGCCAGAAUUUCAGCAGAGACCUAGUUCCUUCACCUGGUGUGAUUUGGACUGUUGAAAAGUUAAAUGAAAAAUGUGGUUAAAGCAGGAAUCCAUAUAAAAGGAACUUAAAACAAACACAUGCACCUGUAAAGGUGUAUGUAAAUGUGCACUCAUCUGCCAGUCUACUGAUACACACCAGCCAAAGCCUCUUCUUGGAAUCUGGGGAUACUGGGCAUGGUGACACGUGCCUAAAUUUCCAGCUACUCGGGGGGCUGAGGUGUGAGGAUCACUUGAGCCCAG